AGGACGAACGCUGGCGGCGUGCCUAACACAUGCAAGUCGAGCGGGAUCCAACCAGUAGCAAUACUGGGGAAGAUCUAGCGGCGAACGGGUGAGUAACACGUGAGAAACCUGCCCCGAAGUCUGGGAUAACCCGAGGAAACUCGAGCUAAUACCGGAUGUCCUCCUCUGGUCGCAUGGCCGGUUGAGGAAAGAUUUAUCGCUUCGGGAGGGUCUCGCGGCCUAUCAGCUAGUUGGUGGGUGAUGGCCUACCAAGGCGGUGACGGGUA
rnacentral:rRNA from 1 species